rnacentral:rRNA from 1 species
AAUUCGAUUGAGUUUGAUCAUGGCUCAGAACGAACGCUGGCGGCGUGGAUAAGACAUGCAAGUCGAACGGGACUUUUCCGAGUAGCAAUACCUGGAGAAGUUUAGUGGCGAACGGGUGCGUAACACGUGGGCAAUCUGCCGAGAAGUGGGGGAUAGCUCGCCGAAAGGCGAAUUAAUACCGCAUGUGAUCAGGGAAGACAUCUUUCCGACAUCAAAGUUGGCGCAAGCUAACGCUUCUUGAUGAGCCCGCGGCCUAUCAGCUAGUUGGCGAGGUAAUGGCUCACCAAGGCAUUGACGGGUAGCUGGUCUGAGAGGACGACCAGUCACACUGGAACUGAGACACGGUCCAGACACCUACGGGUGGCAGCAGUCGAGAAUUUUUCUCAAUGGGGGCAACCCUGAAGGAGCGACGCCGCGUGGAGGAUGAAGGCUCUCGGGUUGUAAACUCCUGUCAUUUGAGAACAAGGUGCACAUGUUAACUGUAUGUGCAUUGAUAGUAUCAGAAGAGGAAGGGACGGCUAACUCUGUGCCAGCAGCCGCGNUAAUACAGAGGUCCCAAGCGUUGUUCGGAUUCAUUGGGCGUAAAGGGUGCGUAGGUGGCGCGCUAAGUCAGGUGUGA